rnacentral:rRNA from 1 species
UACGUAGGGUGCAAGCGUUGUCCGGAAUUAUUGGGCGUAAAGAGCUCGUAGGCGGCUUGUCGCGUCGGCUGUGAAAUCUCCGGGCUUAACCCGGAAAGGUCAGCCGAUACUGCGGGGCUAGAGUGCAGAAGGGGCAACUGGAAUUCUCGGUGUAGCGGUGAAAUGCGUAGAUAUCGAGAGGAACACCUGCGGCGAAGGCGGGUUGCUGGGCUGACACUGACGCUGAGGCGCGAAAGCCAGGGGAGCGAACGGG